UACGUAGGUGGCGAGCGUUGUCCGGAUUUACUGGGCGUAAAGAGCGCGCAGGCGGUCGUGCAAGUCGCGUGUGAAAGCCCCCGGCUCAACUGGGGAGGGUCACGCGAUACUGCUCGACUCGAAGGCAGGAGAGGGAAGUGGAAUUCCCGGUGUAGUGGUGAAAUGCGUAGAUAUCUGGAGGAAUACCGGUGGCGAAGGCGGCAUCCUGGACCGGCAUUGACGCUGAGGAGCGAAAGCUAGGGGAGCAAACGGGG
rnacentral:rRNA from 1 species